UGUUCAGUAAGUCUUAUAUCUACUUCCCCGCGGUGCCGUCUGGGUAAUCAACCCUGGUGGGACCUUGGUCGUAUGCUGACAGGAGAGG
rnacentral:ribozyme from 1 species